rnacentral:rRNA from 1 species
UCGUCAGCUCGUGUCGUGAGAUGUUGGGUUAAGUCCCGCAACGAGCGCAACCCCUAUUGUUAGUUGCUACCAUUAAGUUGAGCACUCUAGCGAGACUGCCUGGGUUAACCAGGAGGAAGGUGGGGAUGACGUCAAAUCAUCAUGCCCCUUAUGUGUAGGGCUACACACGUGCUACAAUGGCAAGUACAGAGAGACGCAAAACCGUGAGGUCGAGCAAAUCCCUUAAAACUUGUCCCAGUUCGGAUUGUAGGCUGAAACUCGCCUACAUGAAGCCGGAGUUGCUAGUAAUCGCGAAUCAGAAUGUCGCGGUGAAUACGUUCCCGGGUCUUGUACACACCGCCCGUCACACCAUGAGAGUUGGCAAUACCCAACGUCCGUGAGCUAACCGCAAGGAGGCAGCGGCCUAAGGUAGGGUCAGCGAUUGGGGUGAAGUCGUAACAAGGUAGCCGUA